UCGAUUCCCUUAGUAGCGGCGAGCGAAACGGGAAGAGCCCAAACCAACAAGCUUGCUUGUUGGGGUUGUAGGACACUCUAUACGGAGUUACAAAGGACGACAUUAGACGAAUCAUCUGGAAAGAUGAAUCAAAGAAGGUAAUAAUCCUGUAGUCGAAAAUGUUGUCUCUCUUGAGUGGAUCCUGAGUACGACGGAGCACGUGAAAUUCCGUCGGAAUCUGGGAGGACCAUCUCCUAAGGCUAAAUACUCUCUAGUGACCGAUAGUGAACCAGUACCGUGAGGGAAAGGUGAAAAGCACCCCGGAAGGGGAGUGAAAUAGAACCUGAAACCGUGUGCUUACAAGUAGUCAGAGCCCGUUAAUGGGUGAUGGCGUGCCUUUUGUAGAAUGAACCGGCGAGUUACGAUUUGAUGCAAGGUUAAGCAGUAAAUGUGGAGCCGUAGCGAAAGCGAGUCUGAAUAGGGCGUUUAGUAUUUGGUCGUAGACCCGAAACCAGGUGAUCUACCCUUGGUCAGGUUGAAGUUCAGGUAACACUGAAUGGAGGACCGAACCGACUUACGUUGAAAAGUGAGCGGAUGAACUGAGGGUAGCGGAGAAAUUCCAAUCGAACCUGGAGAUAGCUGGUUCUCUCCGAAAUAGCUUUAGGGCUAGCCUCAAGUGAUGAUUAUUGGAGGUAGAGCACUGUUUGGACGAGGGGCCCCUCUCGGGUUACCGAAUUCAGACAAACUCCGAAUGCCAAUUAAUUUAACUUGGGAGUCAGAACAUGGGUGAUAAGGUCCGUGUUCGAAAGGGAAACAGCCCAGACCACCAGCUAAGGUCCCAAAAUAUAUGUUAAGUGGAAAAGGAUGUGGCGUUGCCCAGACAACUAGGAUGUUGGCUUAGAAGCAGCCAUCAUUUAAAGAGUGCGUAAUAGCUCACUAGUCGAGUGACACUGCGCCGAAAAUGUACCGGGGCUAAACAUAUUACCGAAGCUGUGGAUUGUCCUUUGGACAAUGGUAGGAGAGCGUUCUAAGGGCGUUGAAGCAUGAUCGUAAGGACAUGUGGAGCGCUUAGAAGUGAGAAUGCCGGUGUGAGUAGCGAAAGACGGGUGAGAAUCCCGUCCACCGAUUGACUAAGGUUUCCAGAGGAAGGCUCGUCCGCUCUGGGUUAGUCGGGUCCUAAGCUGAGGCCGACAGGCGUAGGCGAUGGAUAACAGGUUGAUAUUCCUGUACCACCUAUAAUCGUUUUAAUCGAUGGGGGGACGCAGUAGGAUAGGCGAAGCGUGCGAUUGGAUUGCACGUCUAAGCAGUAAGGCUGAGUAUUAGGCAAAUCCGGUACUCGUUAAGGCUGAGCUGUGAUGGGGAGAAGACAUUG
rnacentral:rRNA from 1 species